rnacentral:sRNA from 1 species
CCUAAGGAGGGGUGAACCGGCCCAGGUCGGAAACGGAGCAGGUCAAAACUCCCGUGCCGAUCAGUAGUGGGAUCGCGCCUGUGAAUGGCCGCUGCAGCGUAGCCUGGGCGAGACAGUGAGACCCGGUCUCUU